GAGGGUGUAGCUCAGUGGUAGAGUGCCUGCUUAGCAUGCACAAGGUCCUGGGUUCAAUCCCCAGUACUUGCC
rnacentral:tRNA from 1 species